CCGACAGGGAAGGUGGGCGAGGCCCCGCGCAGCCGUGGCGUCCAGACCCCCCGACGGAUGGGCGCUAGUCGUGGUUGGCUUCCUGCGGCGGCGAGGUGGGGGAAAGGUAGGAGCGGCCGUGGCAGCCGGGUGGGCGGCUAUGGAGGUUGGCUCGCUGCAUCGGCGAGGUGGUGGAAAGGGAGUAGCGGGCGUGGCAGCUAGGUGGUCGGCUUCCUCGACCAAUGCACACACUCCUCUACCAGUACAAUCAUAUCCGAGAUCAGCAUCGAGGAGUGCAGCAUAACAAAGUCGGCAGCACUCAACCACAAAAAGCUACACGUUUGCAAACAACUGAAAGAAAGAUCAGUAUAUUGGAGAAGGCUUUGGAGCUCAAUCCAGAUAACGAGGAAUUGUUGCUUUGCAUUCUGAAGUCAUUUGGUGAGAGAUAUAGCACUGAGAGUCUCUUUGGUAAAUGGGAGAAAAUACUUAUGGAACGCCUUGACAGUUGUAAAUUGUGGAAACAAUAUCUAAUUAUUUGCCAAGUGGAGUUCUCCAGACUCAAAGUAUCUGAUACGCGGAAGUCUUACACAUAUGCAGUAGACACAGCCUUAGACAACUUAUCUGUUCCCCGCCCCUUCUCUCCCUCUCUUCGCAUAGUAUGUUGUAGUUCUUAAAAUAUCUUCUUCACUUUGCCACAGGAUAGUCAAAAUGUUGAUCUCAAGGCACAACUUUCCUUACUUCAUCUUGAACUUGGUUUAAUGGAUAUAUUUGUGAAUCU